CACCCGAUGGCACAAGGUGUGCAUCUGCAACAUAUAUAAGUUACGAGUUACGGUCAACUUUAUGCAGGAGGGCCCCGUUCAAUUCGGGGUCGGGUGA